rnacentral:rRNA from 1 species
UACGUAGGGUGCAAGCGUUAAUCGGAAUUACUGGGCGUAAAGCGUGCGUAGGCGGUUCGUUAAGUUCGUUGUGAAAGCCCCGGGCUCAACCUGGGAAUGGCAAUGGAAACUGGCGGGCUGGAGUAUGGCAGAGGGGGGUGGAAUUCCGCGUGUAGCAGUGAAAUGCGUAGAGAUGCGGAGGAACACCUAUGGCGAAGGCAGCCCCCUGGGCCAAUACUGACGCUCAGGCACGAAAGCGUGGGGAGCAAACAGG